GUUUGUUUUGUUUACUUUAUAUUACAGUAGUGUUUUGUGAGAGACCUUCCCUUUAUUAUAUGUGUUUGACUACAGGCUACACCGAAAACAGGAAAUAGAAUAUCCAACACCCUUAUUAGACAUACAGGGGCGAAAAUCUGAUAUCAACUUUGGAGGGGACAAUAACAUGACAUUUUCUCAAGAGCAAUUCCUGAUGGGGACACCUAAAGUAGUGCUGUAACACAUAGCCUACAUUGUAAACUCUUAAAUGCAUAUUGAGGAACCAUAAUUACUACUACUGGAUAAUUGAUAGGUACAGUAGUUAACUGAAGGGUUGUCCCAACUUAAAUCAUUAUAACACUACUAAUAAUAAUAGUUAUAGCAGUGUUCUGUAUCAGUCCAGUAUAUAUGCAGGUAUUUGUGUUUACAACCAGCAAUACCAAGCAAGGCCAGUAGGUGGUAAUGGUACUGUACACUGUAUGGGUGCAGGUUUCAUAAAUACAAUGAACAUGGUGCGAUCUCAUCUCAAAGAAUCUCCAUUGAGAACCAUCACAAAGUUGGGUCUCCGCACUGAACUGACCUUUUUAUUUAACUUUUUCUGAUUCAUUUAUAUAGUCAUUAAUUAUCUGCCACUGGUUUGAGUCUAUUACAACAUCUUUACAAGAACAAAACGCUCAGAGUAAGUAGUUCUAAAAGCGAAAGAACUACUUAAAUGAAAAAUGAUUAUCUAAUGAUUAUUAAUGAUUAUAAUGAUUAUCUAAUGAUUAUUGUAGAUGUUUACAACUGAGGGAGUUGACAGUAGGUCAAUGAGAUGUAUAAAGGCAAAUUGACAUAACGGACCUCAAAGACCAACAGCCUACUUUAUAAUAUAGAAUGCAGGGGUGUGUACUGAACAUGUAACCAUUAUAAAACAAAAUGGUCUACGGUCAAAUGCAUCUAUAGUUUUUAAUGAAGUGGUCCCUGCAUUCAUUUAGAUUAUUUCAACAUAGUCUGGAUCAGUCCACAGAAUGGAACACCUAUCCUUGCACCAUGAUAACGGGAGUUACCCAUGAUAUACACUAUUAGUUUCUGGGAAAUACAUCCUUGUUCCUAUCGCUUCUAGCAUAUUUUAUUUUGACCCCAUUUAUGAAAGUUCACCCUUCCAGGAAAACAUAAGUUUGUCCCCACACAACGUAGACCAAUUAUAACAAUCACAUAUGUGUGGAUUCUGUCUGUAUUUAGGACUAGCAGAGCAUACCUAUAAAGCAAAAAGCAUGAGGAUGACAGUUGAGAAAAUGUUGCAUAUACAUUUUUAGUAUCUCAAUAUUGUGUUAUAUGUUGGUAGGUCUAAUAAACAAAUAUAUUGUAUACAUUGAUAAUAUUAUUUUGUCAGAAAUUCAAGCCGUUGAUACAGUUGUGUACUCUAUCGCCCGCCCUGCUGAUCGUGCUUUAUCUGAACUACAUUAUGCUUUCAUUAUUUUGCAUCAAAUAUUUAUGGACCUUAAAUUAUUAUAGAAUACGUGUAAAAACUAUGUAUAUGUUGUUUUCUCGAGUGUAGGAAAAUGAUUCUAAUGAUUGAAGUGUAUGUACCUAGUAUGUUGUACUAGUAUAUUAAGCUGACUUAAAAAAAAAACAUAUUUAUGAGUUAGUUAAUUAAGAAGCUGAAUAUAAAAAGUGUGGCUUCUUACAUAGAAAUGGGUCAGGCCUCUUGCUCAAUAACACAAAGCAGAUCAUUCAAUCUAUGUUCUUACUGGUUCUAGACUAUGUUGAAAUAAUAUAAAUGAAUGCAGCGACCACUUCAUUAAAAACUAUAGAUGCAUUUGACCGUAGACCAUUUUGUUUUAUAAUGGGUACAUGUUCAUCGGGGUUUGUACAGAGUUGGGUAAAUCCGCUCUUUGCUCCCCCUUACAUGGGUAAUAAUCUCCAAGCUGCUCUAAACGUUGAUGUUUUGGUGUCUCUAGGUUAAUCUCUAGACUGGUGAAUGAGGCCUGCUACAACUUUCUUACAAAACCUUUAAAGGGAGUUUGUGAAACCAUUCAGUCAUGGAUGUAUGUAAAACAUAUUUAACACGUAUUGCAGGUUACAGAAUACUCCUGUUGUACGGCGGCAGGGUAGCCUAGUGGUUAGCGCGUUGGACUAGUAACCGGAAGGUUGCAAGUUCAAACCCCCGAGCUGACAAGAAAAGGGUCCGGUUAGGCCUGACCAUUAUCCGUUUCAAAUUCACCAUCGCAAAGACGCUUGUCCGCUCCAUCAAAACUCCGUAAAUUUUCCCUCCAUGUGUAGAUCAACCAUCCUGCAUGUAAAUCCUGGGUAUGCCCACAUCAUUAAUUAAUAAGAUGGGUAGAAAACUGUUUAGCCAUAAGUAAAGGCCUUUCAUAAAGAGGCUGUCAUGAUUGCCUGUGCCACAUAUUUAACACUUAUUGCUUGUUACAGAAUACUACUGUUUUACAUUUAAUAUCCACUAGCAGAUGUCGUCGCAUUUGCACAAAUUCUGUCAUGUUACUGUGGUCUUUUUAAA
ensembl:lncRNA